AUUGAACGCUGGCGGCAUGCCUUACACAUGCAAGUCGAACGGCAGCACGGGAGCAAUCCUGGUGGCGAGUGGCGAACGGGUGAGUAAUAUAUCGGAACGUGCCCAGUUGUGGGGGAUAACGCAGCGAAAGCUGUGCUAAUACCGCAUACGAUCUAAGGAUGAAAGCGGGGGAUCGCAAGACCUCGCGCGAUUGGAGCGGCCGAUAUCAGAUUAGCUAGGUGGUGGGGUAAAGGCCCACCAAGGCGACGAUCGGUAGCUGGUCUGAGAGGACGACCAGCCACACUGGAACUGAGACACGGUCCAGACUCCUACGGGAGGCAGCAGUGGGGAAUUUUGGACAAUGGGCGCAAGCCUGAUCCAGCAAUGCCGCGUGCAGGAUGAAGGCCUUCGGGUUGUAAACUGCUUUUGUACGGAACGAAACGGCCCUUUCUAAUACAGGGGGCUAAUGACGGUACCGUAAGAAUAAGCACCGGCUAACUACGUGCCAGCAGCCGCGGUAAGAC
rnacentral:rRNA from 1 species